AUUCUGACCUCGAUGUCUGGAUUUAAAAAGAGAUCUAUAUUAUCAUUAUUGGAUGUCUGGCAGAUUACAUGUACACCUUGUGUUCUGACCGACAUCAGAAAUUAAUACCAUAUAUAUUCAUAUACACACAGAUAUACCACGGAUAUAUAUUCAGAGUAUCUAAUAUUCAAUCAUAAGCUUAGGUUUGAUAAUGAGGAUUAUUAGCUGGUAAAUGCAAGAAACGAAAAAAUAUAAAAAAUUAAUUAACCAGUCAUUCAUAAGUAUCAGAGAAUCUCGAAACGAAAAUGCAGCAAAAUAUAAGUUGGAACGCAUCUUAAACUAAAUCACCUGUCCCAAUAAUCGUAAUACAUCUUAGCAAUGGCAUGUCUUGGUAACCAUCACUCGCAGUAACCACAUGUCUGUAGUUAUAUGUCCUAUACCUUAGCUACCAUCUUACUUAUAACUGAUCACAUGUCUGAAUGAUCACCUGUCUUACUUGUCAUGUGUCUUCACACCACCUGUCUAAUUGAUAUAUCUUAGUGACCCUUCCUCAGUAAUCUAAAGUCAAGUCAUUUUUAAGUAACCAGAAUGUCUUAAUGUUCAUAUGUGUUACUGAUAAUGUCUCAUCAUCUACCUGUCUUUCUGAUAGUGUCUUAGCAAUAAACAGUCCGAAUGAACAUGUGUCGCAUCAACAACUACUUUAUGAUAAUGUCUUAGUGACCUCAUCAUGUCUUACUGAUAUGUCUAAGCUACCACCUGUCUUACUGAUAUGUCUUAGUAACAACAACCUGUCUUACAGAUAUGUCUUUUUGACCAAUCAUAUGACUGAUAUAUCUCAGUGACCACCUGUGUUACUGAUAUGUCUUAGUGACCACUUGUCUAACUGCAGAUAUGUCUUAGUGACCACCUGUCUUACUGAUAUGACUUAGUUACCGCCUAUCUUACUGAUAUGACUUAGUUACCGCCUAUCUUACUUAAAUGUAUUAGCGACCACUUGUCCUAAUGAUGUGUCUUAGUGACCACCUGUCCAAUUUAUGUCUUAGUGACAACAACAUGUCUUAUGGAAAUGUUUUAGUGAUAUGUCUUAAUGACAACCUAUCUUACUGAUAUGUGUUAAAGACAACCUUUCUUACUGAUAUGUCUAAGUAAUUAUAUAACCACCUGUCCCACAGAUAUGUCUUAGUGACAACCUGUCUGACUGAUAUGUCUAAGUGACAACCUGUCUGACUGAUAUGUCUAAGUAAUUAUAUAACCACCUGUCCCACAGAUAUGUCUUAGUGACCACCUGUCUCUGUGAUCAUUUCUUUGACCACCUGUUUCUGUGAUAAUUUCUUUGACCACCUGUCUAUGCGAUCAUUUCUUUGCUCUCAUCAGCCUUAGUAACCACUUGUCGAUCAUAGCAACCAUUUCUUUGUUUUAAUUAUCACUUGAGUGACCACCUGUGUUGAGUGACCAUUAACUAUAAUUCAGUUAAUAUACUGUCAAACCAGUAUUCAAUGGCUCAGGAAGUCUUAUAAAGCAGGUUAAGUUUACAAUUGAACCACUUAGUGGCGAGCAUUUCAGGGGUUUUCUUAACACGGGUGGUCUCUUGAUGGAGGUGGUUGUAUGAACAGGUUUAACUCUACUUAUAUGUUCCUUACCCGACCCCUCCAUCUCAGGGUACACAUACAUGUGUAAUUUAGUAAAUUACUGCUGUGUAUGUUUAAAUAUUGGCUUCUUAAACCAUUAAUUUCAUAUAAUUACAUGUCAAAAUAGCCAGAAAAAUAGCCACCAGUAAAAGGAAACUUGAUUAACAUAUGUCUAAAACUGCAUGUAAAUAUACAUAAAUUGUAAUAGGAGAUAUAUCAUAUAAAUUGUUUGGUAUAGCAUGAAACAUUGGCUCUGUACUAACUCAAAUGGUUUCCUUGAUUGUGGUAGAAUUGCGAUUAUUUACACGGCAAAUAUACCACCUUGACUUCCAAAGUUGGAAUAAAUAAAUAUGAUUUUUAAAUAAAGACAAAUUGAUAGAAGAAAACAAAAUCAACAAUUUGUUUCAUGUUGUACCUGCAAUUCACAAUACUGAACCUAUUAAAGAUGUUCAUUCUAAUCAAAAGAAAACUUACAAACGCUUAGUGUUGAAGCCAUCAUGAUUAUAACCACAGGCAUACUGAAAUCUCCCUGUCUGAUCGUUUGCCCAUAGAAUCAAUCUUGUCAAGAUAUAGUCCUUGAGUUUUCAUUUGGAUCUGUUGAAACUUGGUUACUGUAAUAAUUCAGGCUUAAUAUGACCAUCAUCAUAUAUUUAGUUGUGCAUAUAUUUACAUAUUGGGUGAUGCUGUUCUUUAAAUCAUAUUUGAUGAUGUCAUGCACUGAUUCAAUGUCACCAUUUUGAAUAGGGGAUAUUUCUUAUUUGAAUUUUAAAUGGGUAGUUUCACCUAUUCUUUAAGUGACAUCCCUUUAGCGUCACAAAAUGAAAUGGCAUUCUAGAUAUACAUAUACAUACGUGCGGUACUGAUCAAAUGAGUUUUGUAAGAGUUAAUGCCCUUGUAUUUUAGCUGUACUCACAAAGUUCAUCAAGUUUCUUCAAAACCUGACAAGGUGAAUCACCAAAACAAAAUAUUCCAUCAGUGUAUAUGGUGUUUUAAAUGGCUAUCGAGCAUAGUGUUUAUAUUGUAAUCCUGGUUUGGGCACAUAUACAAAAUGUGUGUGUGGGGGGUGGGGGGUCAUUGUAUUGAUGUUAGACUUUAGCUGAUAGUUUUAGCUUGAAUAGAUAUUUUGGGCAAAUUAAAUCAGCCAUUGUAAAAAUACAUAGAGUGACCACUGAGUUUAAAACACCUGACCUUGGAUCACUUCCCACAAAACUCGUUCAGUUCCUUGUCUUCUUUUGAUAAGUAUUAGUUUUUGGAACCUGUAAGUUAUAGGACCCACCAGUUUCUAAUAUUUUCUCAGAUACAAAGUUGAAAUUCUUCUUAAAACUUAAAUGUUGAUUCAUGUAAUAUCCAUUCAGUUGUGUUGGCAACUCAAUUUUCAAGAAAAAAAUAUAAUGAGGUUUUUUUUAAACCAAAUAACUGCACGUAAUUUAUAAAUUCAGAUUGAACUACUGCUUAUAACAACUCUAAGCGUCAUACUCAAGGUCAUUGUACACUUAAUAAGUGUGUUUUCUGAGCAGAAAUAUAGACAAUUUCAAAAUCGUCUACGUUUCUUUUUGUCUUUGUUAGAAAACCAACCAUUCAUGAUAUAGUAUAAGAAUAAUAUGCAUUACAAACAAAGAAACAUACGUUUGUAUCUCUUUAUAAACUAAAAACAUUUACUUCAGAAAUGUGAAAACCCAUGUCAAUUACAGCAGGGAUAUGUUAACUUACUGUUAUGUUUUGCUUGUAGAAUUUUUCUGAAUUCCUGUAUUAAGAUAUCCUGCUAACAGUUAGUCAAAUCUUAUGACUGCCUGUUACAAUAACCUUUUACAACCAGAGGCUUGAAGAGGCAUUCAUUGUCCAUGUACAUUUAACAUAAUGAGUAGAUAGCCAUGCAUUACCAACAGCUUUUCAAGUCUGAAAUACUUCCAGAAAAGGUACUAAAACAUUUUUUGUAAUUAAUUAUGACAUCCUCGAACAGGUUUUACGAGUUUAGGAAAGUGUUAAGCAGUUGUUCCGAAGAAAUAGGUACUCAAUAUUACUUUUUUAAUCUUUGGUUUCAGAAUAUGUAGAAUCAAGAUAUACAGACAUCGGGGUGAUUUAAGUAAGAUUGUGAUAUGGCUAAGCCAGAGUGAUAUAAGUAAGUUUGUGAUAUUGCUAAUUAGCCAGGGUGAUAUAAUUAAGAUUGUGAUGUGGCUAGGCCAGGGUGAUAAAAGUAUGAUUGUGAUAUGGCUAGGCCAGGGUGAUAUAAGUAUGAUUGUGAUAUGGCUAGGCCAGGGUGAUAUAAGAUAAAGCAAGGUCAGGGUGAUAUAAAUAGGAUUGUGAUGUGGCUAAGCCAGGGUGAUAUAAAUAAAAUUGUGAUGUGGCUAGGCCAGGGUGAUAUAAGUAUGAUUGUGAUGUGGCUAGGCCAGGGGGAUAUAAGAUAAAGCAAGGUCAGGGUGAUAUAAAUAAAAUUGUGAUGUGGCUAGGCCAGGGUGAUAUAAGAUAAAGCAAGGUCAGGGUGAUAUAAAUAAAAUUGUGAUGUGGCUAAGCCAGGGUGAUAUAAGUAAGAUUGUGAUGUGGCUAGGCCAGGGUGAUAUAAGAUAAAGCAAGGUCAGGGUGAUAUAAAUAAAAUUGUGAUGUGGCUAAGCCAGGGUGAUAUAA
rnacentral:lncRNA from 1 species